ACCAGAUUGGACGUGGCUAACUAUCGGCGGCGCCAUCCACCACCGCAGCAAGUCGCCGGCGGAUCCCAGCUCGCUGCUCUGCGGCCCAUCGAGGAGAGCGAUAAGACCCUCGGCUCAACCCUCGCCCUCGCCGAACCGGCGAGGUAAGCCGCAUCGGCCUCCUCCGCUGGCGGCGGCGCUACCCGGCUGACCACGACGCAUUUCCGUCGAUGCAUUUCGCACACGCGAUGGGCGCAAGUACGGCCGCCGACGCCUCCGCAGGGCCGUGCUCGAUGUACCGCCGGCGGCAGCCUUCUCGGGGUCGGGGGGAUCCCAGCCUUUCUCCGGAAAUGUCUCCCCCGUCGGGAUCGAGUUCAUACCCUCAGCCAGCUCCGUCCACCUCUGGCCCACCCGGACCACGGCGGCCUCCACUGCUGAUGAUUUUGGUAUUCAGGCCAGAGAUUCAGACAGGGGACCAAACUGGACCGCCCCCCUGGCUUGCAUACCAGGCUCGGAUUGUCGCGACUCUCGAGCAUCGGGUGCUCAAUGUCAAGUCUGGACACUGCCGAGCAAAUAGCGCGUUGCAAAGUACUUCAAACAGCUCCGAGCAAGGAUUAGUCUCAUGACAAUGCUGGAUGGCGCACAAGGAGGGGCAUGCCAGCGACGUGGGAGAACCCGGUGUCCGGCAGGAACAUCGAUGUCUCUGAUGCUGCUUGGGGUAACUCCUGUCCGGCAGUUGCAGCCGACUUCCUGUCAGAAACUUCGCCCAUUGCUGUUGACCAGCACGUAGGUUUCGACAGAUGUGCUCCCAGGUUGUGGCAUAAUGUUGCCCAGUUUCCAUGUGUCGGAUUACCUGUGCUUUGCAAGUACCGGGCUGUGGUAACAAGAGCAAGGGGUAAACCAUCACACUUCUUCAGUGCCUCCGAGCCAAGC